rnacentral:rRNA from 1 species
GACGAACGCUGGCGGCGUGCUUAACACAUGCAAGUCGAACGGAAAGGCCUGCUUUCCCUUGUGGUUUGCGGGUACUCGAGUGGCGAACGGGUGAGUAACUCGUGAGUGAUCUGCCCCCAACUUGGGUAUAAGCCUGGGAAACUGGGUCUAAUUCCCGAUAGGACUGCAGGGUGGUGCCUGUGGUGGAAAACGAUUUUCUAGUGGUUGGGGAUGAGCUCGCGGCCUAUCAGCUUGUUGGUGGGGUAAUGUCCGACCAAGGCGGCGACGGGUAGCCGGCCUGGGAGCGGGGACAGGGGCAUUGAGACUGGGACACGGCCCAGACGCGAGCGGGAAGCAGGAGUGGGGAAUAUAGGAGCGUGGGCGGAAGCGUGAUGCGGCGAGGGAGCGUGGGGGAUGUCGGCCUUCGGGUUGUAAACUCCUUGCGACCGCGAGGAAGCCACCUGGAUGUAAGGGUGGUGACGGUAGUGAGAGAAGAAGCACCGGCUAACUACGUG